CCGUACGUUGCCUYGGCAGGCMCCGGACGCGGCCCCCCMUAAUAUGUAGGGCCCGCGGGGCGGGACCUGCCGGCGGCCCGYGAAACGAACCCUGCAAAGCACUGAAUUUCUGAGCCGGUAGAAUAAAUUAAGUUAAAACUUUCAACAACGGAUCUCUUGGUUCUGGCAUCGAUGAAGAACGCAGCGAAAUGCGAUAAGUAAUGUGAAUUGCAGAAUUCAGUGAAUCAUCGAAUCUUUGAACGCACAUUGCGCCCGCCGGUAUUCUGGCGGGCAUGCCUGUUCGAGCGUCAUUUCAACCCCUUAAGCCCCUGCUGCUUAGCGUUGGGAGCCUACGGCCCGCCGUAGCUCCUCAAAGUCAGUGGCGGAGCCGGCCCCUACCCCAGGCGUAGUAGUUUAAUUAAAGCUCGCCCGCGGUGGGACCGGUCCCUUGCCGUAAAACACCCCAAUUUCUCGCAAGGUAGACCUCGGAUCAGGUAGGGAACCCGUGAUAA
rnacentral:rRNA from 1 species